AUCAAUUCACUAGGAGCCAGUUAAAUUAUUCUUUACGGAAAGCAUCUUUGGUGCAAGUUCCUCCUGCACUAUGGAAUAAUGUAAUAGCUUUGAUGUUUUCAUGGAGAUUCAAAGCAUGCAAAGCACAAAGCUUCCAUAUUGACAAUUCAUUAAAUGUGUGCACAUAUUAAAUUUAAAACCUAAUUAUUAGCUAUCCAGAUCCCAUAAAGUUGAUACUUGG
rnacentral:misc_RNA from 1 species